GUGCUUGCUUUGGCAGCACAUAUGCUAAAAACUGGAAUGAUACAGAGAAGAUUAGCAUGGCCCCUGCGCAACGAUGACACAUAAAUUUGUGAAGUGUUCCAUAGAUUU
rnacentral:snRNA from 1 species